GAUGAACGCUGGCGGCGUGCCUAAUACAUGCAAGUCGAGCGAACAGACGAGGAGCUUGCUCCUCUGACGUUAGCGGCGGACGGGUGAGUAACACGUGGAUAACCUACCUAUAAGACUGGGAUAACUUCGGGAAACCGGAGCUAAUACCGGAUAACAUGUUGAACCGCAUGGUUCAACAGUGAAAGACGGUCUUGCUGUCCCUUAUAGAUGGAUCCGCGCCGCAUUAGCUAGUUGGUAAGGUAACGGCUUACCAAGGCAACGAUGCGUAGCCGACCUGAGAGGGUGAUCGGCCACACUGGAACUGAGACACGGUCCAGACUCCUACGGGAGGCAGCAGUAGGGAAUCUUCCGCAAUGGGCGAAAGCCUGACGGAGCAACGCCGCGUGAGUGAAGAAGGUCUUCGGAUCGUAAAACUCUGUUAGUAGGGAAGAACAAAUGUGUAAGUAACUAUGCACGUCUUGACGGUACCUAAUCAGAAAGCCACGGCUAACUACGUG
rnacentral:rRNA from 1 species